UGUGUAUAUAUAUAUGUGUGUGUGUGUGUGUAUAUGUGUGUGUGUGUGUGUGUGUAUAUAUAUAUAUAUAUAUUGUAUUUUAAUUGUGGUAGCCCACAAAAUAUUGGGACAUAAAAAAGACAACUCUGUUCCGCAGAGUAGCUGUUGACAUUAUAGUUGUGCAGGCACUUUGUUGACUCUAGAGAACCUCGGCCAAUCGCACAUCCCCGUGACGGCGACUUUGCAUUCGUAUGUCAUCCAUAUCAACUUUCGAUGCCAGUUUCUGCACCUACCAUGGUGACCACGGGUAACGGGAAAUCAGGGUUCCAUUCCAUACAGGGACCCUGAGAAACGGCUACCACAUGGAAGGAAGGCAGCAGGUGCACAAAUGACUCACUCCCGACGUGGGAAGUUAGUGAUG